rnacentral:rRNA from 1 species
UACGUAGGGUCCAAGCGUUAAUCGGAAUUACUGGGCGUAAAGCGUGCGCAGGCGGUUGUGCAAGACCGAUGUGAAAUCCCCGGGCUUAACCUGGGAAUUGCAUUGGUGACUGCACGGCUAGAGUGUGUCAGAGGGGGGGUAGAAUUCCACGUGUAGCAGUGAAAUGCGUAGAGAUGUGGAGGAAUACCGAUGGCGAAGGCAGCCCCCUGGGAUAACACUGACGCUCAUGCACGAAAGCGUGGGGAGCAAACAGG